AGAGUUUGAUCCUGGCUCAGAGCGAACGCUGGCGGCAGGCCUAACACAUGCAAGUCGAACGAUCCUUCGGGAUAGUGGCGGACGGGUGAGUAACACGUGGGAACGUACCUUUUGGUUCGGGAUAACUAAGGGAAACUUUAGCUAAUAC
rnacentral:rRNA from 1 species